rnacentral:rRNA from 1 species
CCUACGGGAGGCAGCAGUGGGGAAUAUUGGACAAUGGGGGAAACCCUGAACCAGCGACGUCGCGUGAGUGAAGAAGUAUUUCGGUACGGAAAGCUCUAUCAGCAGGAAAGAAAAUGACGGUACCUGACUCAGAAGCCCCGGCUAAAGACGAGACAGCAGCCGCGGUAAUACGUAGGGGGCAAGCGUUAUUCCGAAUUACUGGGUGUUAAGGGUGUGUAGGUGGUUUGAUAAGUUCGAUUGGUAAUAUUCAGGGCUGAACUCGAGUGUUGCAGCUAAAACUGGUAGCCUUGAGUACUGGAGAGGUUGGCGGAAUGCGUGGUGUAGCGGUGGAAUGCGUAGAUAUUAGGAAGAACUUCGAUUGCGAAGGCAACUAUCUGGACAGCAACUGACACUGAAGCACGAAAGCGUGGGGAGCAAACAGGAUUAGAUACCCGUGUAGUC